rnacentral:piRNA from 1 species
GGAAUUUCAGUUUGAUUUGCCAUAUGAAGU